CAGAACACACUUGAAGGUUUAAUUUUGGGACUGAGGAUGAGGAAUUAAUGGUUCUCACAAUCAUGCAAGCCCACGAAGGAUUUCUGUUCUGCUUCCCGUCAGUGCCGCACACUCCUAAUUUUAAGCUGUCCAUCGCACAUCCAUGCCUUAGGCUCAUUCGUCAAUCACGUAUUGAAAGCCUAUUAAGAGUCAAGCUCUGUGUUAGACUUGGGGUUUCAAGGACUAGGAUACUUUCCAAGGUGUGCUGAGCUGCCGCACAGCAGUUCACAGAAGCCUCGUGUGCAUGUCUUCCCAAGUCUGUGUUCAGUGAAGUCAGUCCUGUGAGUGUAUUUGUACCAUGGAAAUGGACAAAUGCUACAAAUCAGGAUUCUCCCUCCUUUUUGCUUUUUGAGGACCAGUUUACCAGGUACCACAGCUAUAAAGCCAGCAGCUUACUGAGCAGGCAGAAAGAAAAUUACCGACCACAGUGCAGUGUGAAAAGAAUGAACAAAUUGCUGCGGUAGCCCAAUGGGGCCAUCCUUUUCUCCAUCAAUGGUCUGAAGGAGGUACAAGGGAGGUGUCAUUUGGAUACUAAAAGAGAAGAAUUUGCUCAGGUAGGGAAAAUGGAGGGAGGUGGGGGAAGGACGGCCUCAGCAAAGGAAAUAGUAUAUGAACAAAUGUCUGGAGGUGUGAAGGAAUGUUUGGGGGCUGGGAUUGGUUAGGAAUGCAGGGGGGCCAGGGAGGGUGAGGGAAGCGAAGCUGGAGGUCAAUAAGAUGAGCUCCAUCUGCCAAGCCUUAGGUUCCCCACACCACUCUGACACAGCGGCAGCCCCCAAAAGAUCUAGCUGCCAAGAACUCGAUCAAAACCAGAAAUUUCAGCAUGAGAGGAGUUAGAGUCUUCCGAAUCCUGUGACCAGCACAAAGCUUUCAGUCAUCUGAUGACAAAGGACAUGAGGAAUUAUGUGUUCCCAACUCUCUCAUCUUCCAACUGAAUUUUAUAACUGAGAAAUCUUCACCAUGCAUGGGAGUAAAAACAAAACUGAGAGGAAAGUGACAGUGGUAACGACUGAAAUCACCAUAGAAACCCCCUCAUAAACACACACACACACAAAUCUUCCAGGAGGUGUUUUCUCAGAAUCACCUCCUGUUAAAAAUCAGAAGAUAACUCCAAAAGCCUAUUUUAAAAGGGCGCUGGAGCGGUGUACUUAAAAGCACCAACCACACGAGUACAAACAGGCGAGAGGAAGGGCAUAGCGCUUCUAAGAUAACCGUGAAGAACUGGAUCAGUCUCUGACUCCCAGGACCCGGCAUCCUGUAAAAGUUUGCUUGUCUACUAGGCUACCCCAGCGACAGCGCUUUUUCAUUCUCUCUCAUGUUUCCAGAGAUAGACCUUCUGGAAAGCUGUUGGCCCUAGAAUGCAGUUAUUCCAGGGUUUCUGUUUGACCCCUCUGCCCUGGAGUUUUCUUCUGCUUGGAGGUCAGCCAGCUGGGCAGAAAGGCACUUUCCUAUCUGGCCUCUUCGAUCCCUCCAUCGAUGAGGAAGGGCCUGAGACACUGUUGUUGCAAGAAACGGAGUUUGGAGACAGUCUGGUUCAUGGCUGGGCGCUGUCAGACAAGCUCCGAGGUUCAGCUGCCUGUUACUGCCAGGCGACACCACACACCAGCAGAGCUUGACAGGUUUCCUGGGGAACUGGCAGCGACCUGGGGCCCUCAACACACACGAGCUGACGGCCUGGGGACUGGCAGUUCCUAGAGAUGGAGUGCUUUGGGGCCAUGAAGUGCUUUGGCAGACAGUGAAGGGGAACAGCACCUAGAGCCAGCUGUGACCUUUUAGGGCAGAAACAGUACCCCUUUCUGGGCUCCACCCAGGGGCUGCCAGGCUGGGUAAGAAUGAAAUAAGAGGGAUACUCAUCUUACUCCUUGGCUUCACUCUUUGAUCUCCCCACCUUGCCUUGGCUUUUACUUUGGGUUGAUUGUGAGCUCAAGUAAGGGGUCAGCACUUGGUAGAAGAGGAACCGGAGACUCUGAAGAACCAGAUGGGGAUAUCCACGCAUCCAGCCUGCCUUCCUCCUAUGCUCCUCCUGAGCCACAGGAUUUCAGUCCACUUCCCUUGAGGCUAUUCAAAGCAUGUGACUGGACCAUCGUGUGGUAGAAGUCAUACACCAGCAAGGGGAAGACACAGAUGAAAACCAAUGGCCAGUUUCCGAGGAAAGAGAAAUGAUCAGAACGUGGAUUGCUUCGUGUGUGUUUGGAAUCCAUGAUGAAAGAAAUAUCAGUAACAGAUGUGGAAUGACCUCCAAAAUACACUCUUAAGUGAUUAAAAAAAAAAAAA